rnacentral:lncRNA from 1 species
CUUAUAUUGCCGGAGCUUGAUGAACGAGCCUGUUACCCUAGGCCGGGGUGUGUAGCUAUGAGCGAGGCACUCUUAAGGGCUGGACUUAGGUUGCCUAUCCAUCAUUUCUUUCGGUAUGUCUUUAGGUCAUACGAGCUAGCUCCGCCCCAAUUAAACCUGAACUCCUGGAGUUAGAUGGUGGGCUCCUGGAUGUUGUGGAAGGAGGCGUAUCUUGGGGUAGAGAUGCCCUUUUCAGUCUUUCAAACCCUGUACAUCCCUAAAGUGGCGGCCGGGGGAUAAGACUAAGGGGUGGUAUUACUUAACCUCCUAGGGGGCCCAUACUCCAUUCAUGCUAGACCCACCGAGCUCAAUAAAGGACUGGAAGACGUCAUGGUGCUGGGCAUUCGGAAGGAGGGACACAAUGGAGGGGGACCCCCUGGCGCCCCUCACAGUCCUAACUACUUAUUUAUCGCUCAGUGAGUGCUGAUGCCCUGUGUUUAAAUUUCUUUUGAGCUUCUGUUUGGUUCCUGGCCUAUGUUUGUUGUUUGCAGGCACUCUUCCUCGGUAUGAGAUAUCCACUGAAGAAUUUGACAUAAUUUGCAUUUUUUUAUCAGUUCCCACUGAAGAGGAGAUCUUAUCACGAGCUGAUCAAGAAGAAUAGACACUUUGUUAUGCACGACCUAAUGGCCUCUCAAGGUGAGUUUCUAAAGGGGCUUUAUUGUCGUAGGUUUCCAAACUCCAUAUACUUGUACUAAUUUUCUCGAUUCCCUGCAGAUAAUUUCAACAAGAAGAGGCCCCUGAGGCCUAAUUUUAAGAAAAAAUGAUGGCCAAGGCAAGGGCCUUGAAGACCUUCUCCUCUGCCUAUAAGAAGCAGAUCGAUGAGCUGGUGACUGCAAGCAAACGGCUUCAGCCAAUUGGCGGAGGAAGAGGAAGCAGAAGAGCCAAAAGCAAACUUGCUAAGGAAGGGUAAGAAGGCUGCUGGCUCCUCGAAGGGGUCAACCGUGGCAAGGCCCCCUCGGUUCUAAAGCAGACCACGAUACCCACCGGGGUGGCCAUCCGGGAGAAGACAAUUUGCCCUUCCGAGGCUUCCCAAGUUGCUGCUGCUUCAGCUGAAGCUUCGCUCCCUGCAGUGCCACUUUCCCAAGUGCCAGGGCAGCAGAAGAGGAAGAGGGCUCAUCCUGCAAAGGAGGCAAAUUUUCUGAGCGUCAACAUUGACGAGCUCGUGAAUGAGGUACUGGAAGCCUUGC